rnacentral:rRNA from 1 species
UAUAUGGAGAGUUUGAUCCUGGCUCAGGAUUAACGCUAGCGAUGUGCCUAAGAUAUGCAAGUCGAACGCCCCGCAAGGGGAGUGGCAGACGGCUGAGCAACACGUAGGAAUCAACCCCAAACUUGAGUAUAGCUCGUCGAAAGACGGGGUAAUUCUCAAUGGUCUCGUAAGAGUAAAGCUCCGGCGGUUUGGGACGAGCCUGCGGCCUAUCAGGUAGUUGGUGGGGUAAAAGCCUACCAAGCCUAUGACGGGUAGCUGAUCUGAGAGGAUGGUCAGCCAGACUGGGACUGUGACACGGCCCAGACUCCUACGGGAGGCAGCAAUUAGGAAUCGUGCGCAAUGGACGCAAGUCUGACGCCGCGACGUCGCGUGAGGGAUGAAGGUCUUAGGAUCGUAAACCUCUUUUAUCUGGGAACAAGUUCUGAGUGUACCAGAUGAAUAAGUACCUGCCAACCACGUGCCAGAAGCAUCGGUAAUACGUGGGGUACGAGCGUUAUCCGGAUUUACUGGGCGUAAAGAGAAGCGUAGGCGUCCCAAUAAGUUCUAGGUUAAAGCCCAAUGCUCAACAUUGGAAUCGCCUAGGAAACUAUUGGGAUUGAGAUAGACAGGGGAGAGGAGAAUUCCUGGUGGAGCGGUUAAAUGCGUAGAUAUCAGGAGGAAUACCAAUGGCGAAAGCACCUCUCUGGGUCUCAUCUGACGCUAAGGCUCGAAAGCGUGGGGAGCAAAACGGAUUAGAUACCCGUGUAGUCCACGCCGUAAACGAUCCCUGCUAGGUGUCUGUCUUGUGAAUAUUUUCCUUCGGGAAAAUUUUUAACAAGGUGGGUGCCACAGCUAACGCAUUAAGCAGGGCGCCUGAGGAGUACGGCCGCAAGGCUAAAACUUAAAGGAAUUGACGGGGACCCGCACAAGCAGUGGAGCGCCUGGUUUAAUUCGAUGCUAAGCGAAAAACCUCACCUAGGCUUGAACUGUAGCUGCAACCCCUCCGAAAAGAGGGGCCCCUUCGAGGGUGCUACAGAGGUGCUGCAUGGCUGUCGUCAGCUCGUGUCGUGAGAUGUAGGGUUAAGUCCCACAACGAGCGCAACCCCUACCCAGUGUUAUAUAUUUCUCUGGGGACUGCCCUGCCAAAACGGGGAGGAAGGAGGGGACGACGUCCAGUCAUCAUGUCCCUUAUGUCUAGGGCUACACAGACGCUACAAUGGUCAUUACAAUGGGCUGCCAAACCGCGAGGUGGAGCCAAUCCCAUCAAAAGUGACCUCAGUUCAGAUUGCAGUCUGCAACUCGACUGCAUGAAGUUGGAAUUGCUAGUAAUCGCGCAUCAGCAUGGCGCGGUGAAUACGUUCUCGGGUCUUGUACACACCGCCUGUCAGGGCACGGAAGUUGCUUUGGCUCGAAGUCCCCGAUUUAUCGGGGCCGAAAGUCAGGGUAGCGACCAGGCUUAAGUCAUAACAAGGUAGCCGUAGGGGAAUCUGCGGCUGGAUUACCUCCUUU